rnacentral:rRNA from 1 species
GACGAACGCUGGCGGCGCGCUUAACACAUGCAAGUCGAACGGAAAGGCCUGCUUUCCCUUGUGGAUUGCGGGUACUCGAGUGGCGAACGGGUGAGUAACACGUGAGUGAUCUGCCCCCAACUUGGGUAUAAGCCUGGGAAACUGGGUCUAAUUCCCGAUAGGACUGCAGGGUGGUGCCUGUGGUGGAAAACGAUUUUCUAGUGGUUGGGGAUGAGCUCGCGGCCUAUCAGCUUGUUGGUGGGGUAAUGGCCUACCAAGGCGGCGACGGGUAGCCGGCCUGAGAGGGUGGACGGCCACAUUGGGACUGAGAUACGGCCCAGACGCCUACGGGAGGCAGCAGUGGGGAAUAGUGCACAAUGGGCGGAAGCCUGAUGCAGCGACGCCGCGUGGGGGAUGACGGCCUUCGGGUUGUAAACUCCUUUCGACCGCGAGGAAGCCACCUGGUUGGAAGGGUGGUGACGGUAGUGGUAGAAGAAGCACCGGCUAACUACGUG